UACGGGGGGGGCAAGCGUUGUUCGGAAUUACUGGGCGUAAAGGGCUCGUAGGUGGCCAACUAAGUCAGACGUGAAAUCCCCAGGCUCAACUUGGGAACUGCGUCUGAUACUGGAUGGCUUGAAUUCGGGAGAGGGAUGCAGAAUUCCAGGUGUAGCGGUGAAAUGCGUAGAGAUCGGGAGGAACACCAGUGGCGAAGGCGGCCAUCUGGCUCAACAUUGACGCUGAGGCACGAAAGCGUGGGGAGCGAGCAGG
rnacentral:rRNA from 1 species